CCGGCUUUCGCGCGGGUGCUGGCGAGCGCGGCCCUUCGCGCCCUUUGCACGUGAGCGCAGGCUAAGAUAAACCAUGCACUUAGCUCCUGUAGUUUUUCUUUAUAAAAGCCCGUUUUAAUCACUUUCUGAUGCUAAAUGCAAAUUUCAACAAAGUAAAUGCCCGCAGCUUUCACUGCGUUAAUACACUAAUGUGUGUGUAAAGACCAGCACAGAGGGAAAAGCAUUUCCAUCCGUUUUUCUUCCAUUUGGUGUUCUCUCCAGCUUUGUCGUCUGGGAUAGUUCUUCAGAAUCACUCACUGGCUUUCAAAUUCAGACCUCGAAAUACGUUUUUAAAUCCACUUUUGUUGCAACAUUUUUUUGAAGUUAAGCAAGUUUGGUGCAGAUGAGAAUAUUUAGAAAGCAGAGUGUCUGUAAUACAGUGUAGCAUGGCCAUUUUUUUAAAUUUCCUAGCGUUCUCUGCUGAUCUGCUUCGAUCCCAGUUUGCGCUGUAGUUUCCGUCUCAGCUCCAAGCAUCCAGCAGCCGCACUGAUCCGUUUGGCCCUGCAGCCUUUAACGCACGGCGAGGUCCUGCGGGGAUUUACGUGCUUGAAGAACGGGGAGCAGACUUUCUGCGGAUUACCCAGGCACAGAGGUGAUCCUUGGGCAUGCAGAGUGCUGGAGGUGACUACAGACCAGAGCAAUGCAGGCCCCCUUGCAAAGCCCUUCGUGCCGCAGGAGAUCCUCGUUCCAUGAAGGCUUGGGAGCUCACAAAAGCCCAGUUAACUUCUGAGUGAAAUCCCUCCGUGCCAUGGAAGCCACAGUUUCAGAGACAGCCCCGAUUGUCCAGGUGACAUUGAUAAAUAAGGCGCAUUCUAAUUUUAAAAACCUCUGGAAAAAAUGUAGUAUGUCCCUUGGGGAAUACCAGUAAAUGACAUUCUUCCAUUAUACAUGUGAAUCUGAUUGUGGG
rnacentral:lncRNA from 1 species